rnacentral:rRNA from 1 species
CUGAUCCAGCCAUGCCGCGUGAAGGAAUAAGGUCCUAUGGGUGCUAAACUUCUUUUGACGCAGAGCAAUAAGGGACACGCGUGUUCCGAUGAGAGUAUGCGUCGAAUAAGCAUCGGCUAACUCCGUGCCAGCAGCCGCGGUAAUACGGAGGAUGCGAGCGUUAUCCGGAUUUAUUGGGUUUAAAGGGUGCAUAGGCUGUUGGAUAAGUCAGCGGUGAAAUCACCACGCUUAACGUGUUGUGUGCCGUUGAAACUGUCUGGCUUGAAUGCGCUCGUCGUGAGAGGAAUGUGUGGUGUAGCGGUGAAAUGCAUAGAUAUCACACAGAACACCGAUUGCGAAGGCAUCUCACGAGGGCGCUAUUGACGCUGAUGCACGAAAGCGCGGGUAUCGAACAGGAUUAGAUACCCUGGUAGUCCGCGCUGUAAACGAUGAUGACUAACCGUUGGUCUGGUAGGAUCAGUGGACAAGCGAAAGCGUUAAGUCAUCCACCUGGGGAGUACGGCCGCAAGCUGAAACUCAAAGGAAUUGACGGGGGCCCGCAC